AGUGAACGCUGGCGGUAGGCCUAACACAUGCAAGUCGAACGGCAGCACAGUAAGAGCUUGCUCUUACGGGUGGCGAGUGGCGGACGGGUGAGGAAUACAUCGGAAUCUACUUUUUCGUGGGGGAUAACGUAGGGAAACUUACGCUAAUACCGCAUACGACCUACGGGUGAAAGCAGGGGAUCUUCGGACCUUUCGCGAUUGAAUGAGCCGAUGUCGGAUUACCUAGUUGGCGGGGUAAAGGCCCACCAAGGCGACGAUCCGUAGCUGGUCUGAGAGGAUGAUCAGCCACACUGGAACUGAGACACGGUCCAGACUCCUACGGGAGGCAGCAGUGGGGAAUAUUGGACAAUGGGCGCAAGCCUGAUCCAGCCAUACCGCGUGGGUGAAGAAGGCCUUCGGGUUGUAAAGCCCUUUUGUUGGGAAAGAAAAGCAGCAGGUUAAUACCCCGCUGUUCUGACGGUACCCAAAGAAUAAGCACCGGCUAACUUCGUG
rnacentral:rRNA from 1 species